AUUGAACGCUGGCGGCAUGCCUUACACAUGCAAGUCGAACGGCAGCACGGGUGCUUGCACCUGGUGGCGAGUGGCGAACGGGUGAGUAAUACAUCGGAACAUGUCCUGUAGCGGGGGAUAGCCCGGCGAAAGCCGGAUUAAUACCGCAUACGAUCUACGGAUGAAAGCGGGGGACCUUCGGGCCUCGCGCUAUCGGGUUGGCCGAUGGCUGAUUAGCUAGUUGGUGGGGUAAAGGCCUACCAAGGCGACGAUCAGUAGCUGGUCUGAGAGGAUGACCAGCCACACUGGGACUGAGACACGGCCCAGACUCCUACGGGAGGCAGCAGUGGGAAAUUUUGGACAAUGGGCGAAAGCCUGAUCCAGCAAUGCCGCGUGUGUGAAGAAGGCCUUCGGGUUGUAAAGCACUUUUGUCCGGAAAGAAAGCCUUGGCCCUAAUACGGUCGGGGGAUGACGGUACCGGAAGAAUAAGCACCGGCUAACUACGUG
rnacentral:rRNA from 1 species